AACGAACGCUGGCGGCAUGCUUAACACAUGCAAGUCGAACGAAACGUUCCGGCCUUGGGGCGGAGCUGUACGGGACGCCUGGGAAGUAGCACGUAGGUUCGCUAUAACUGCCCGUGAGGGAUGUUAAUAACGGUUAAUGUCUUACGACCAAAGAUCUAUUGCCUUUGGAUGGGCCCGCGUUGGUUUAGCCAGUUGGUAGGGGAAAAGCAUGUCAAGGGGUCGUUCCAUAGCUGGUCUGUGAGGAGGAUCAGCCGCACUGGCACUGAGACCCGGCCCAGACUCCUACGCGAGGCAGCAGAGGGGAAUAUUAGACGAUGGGCGAAAGCCUGAUACAGCAAUGCCGCGUGAGUGAUGAAGGCCUUAGGGUUGUAAAGCUCUUUUACCCGGGAUGAUAAUGACAGUACCGGGAGAAUAAGCUCCGGCUAACUACGUG
rnacentral:rRNA from 1 species